rnacentral:tRNA from 1 species
GAAGGUAUAGCUUGGUGGUAGAGCGCAUGUUUAGCAUGCAUGAAGUCCUCUGUUCAAUCUCCAGUACUUCCA